rnacentral:rRNA from 1 species
GACGAACGCUGGCGGCGUGCUUAACACAUGCAAGUCGAACGAAGUGGCGAACGGGUGAGUAACGCGUAAUCAACCUGCCCUUCAGAGGGGGACAACAGUUGGAAACGACUGCUAAUACCGCAUAACGAAGGAGGGGAUUGCGUCUGAUUAGCUAGUUGGAGGGGUAACGGCCCACAAAGGCGAUGAACAGUAGCCGUUCUGAGAGGCUGAGCGUCCACAUUGGGACUGAGACACGGCCCAGACUCCUACGGGAGGAAGCAGUGGGGAAUCUUCCGCAAUGGACGAAAGUCUGACGGAGCAACGCCGCGUGAGUGAUUACGGCCUUCGGGUUGUAAAGCUCUGUUAAUCGGGACGCGGUACCGGAAUAGAAAGCCACGGCUAACUACGUGCCAGCAGCCGCGGUAAUAC